rnacentral:lncRNA from 1 species
UCCCAACCCAUCAAAAUCUAAAGCCCCCUCUUCGCUUCAUCUUUCUCUCGCUCUCUCUGACCGCGAACCCUCUCUCUCGCUCUCUCAUCCAAAAUCCCUUUUCCUCUUCGUUUUCAGACUUAACGUCCGCAUUUCUCUCUCUUUCUCUCAUCUCAGCCUCCUUCUCUCAUGUAGGGCGUCAAGGAUCUGGCCAAAAUGACGUUGUUCAUGAAUGAGAGUUAUGCAGACCGAAGGCUUCCUCACCAUCGCAACCCCAAAGAGUUUGUUCCAUUGGACCAUUUGGCAGGUCAAUUUUAUGUCUUUCUCUUCCAUCAAGAUUACUCUCUUUAAUUUGCCCUUAAUAUGGAUUAUUAUAAUUGAUUUUGUAUUUAACAAGUUGGUGGGUGCUGGUGUUGCAGAUCUUUGGGUGAUGGAGAAUCUGGG